GAUGAAGAACGUAGCGAAAUGCGAUAAGUAGUGUGAAUUGCAGAAUUCAGUGAAUCAUCGAAUCUUUGAACGCACAUUGCGCCCCUUGGUAUUCCAUGGGGCAUGCCUGUUCGAGCGUCAUUUGUACCUUCAAGCCUUGCUUGGUGUUGGGUGUUUGUCUCGCCUCUGCGCGCAGACUCGCCUCAAAACAAUUGGCAGCCGGCGUAUUGAUUUCGGAGCGCAGUACAUCUCGCGCUUUGCACUCAUAACGACGACGUCCAAAAGUACAUUUUUACACUCUUGACCUCGGAUCAGGUAGGGAUACCCGCUGAACUUAAGCAUAUCAAUAAGCGGAGGA
rnacentral:misc_RNA from 1 species